ensembl:lncRNA
CUUUUGUGAGGCAUGAAUAAUAAAAGCAUUAACAUACUGUAUCUUUCAAUGUCUUUUCUUAUUUGAGGCCACUUAAACUGAUGUCCCUACAGUAAUACCUCUUUCCUGACAUCCACUGGUCAACCAGGAACCCCUUCAAGCCACCUCCUGGAUCUGCGUCCUGUUGCUGGGCUGUUUGGGACUCAGCUACAGUAGGACACAGAAUCCUCAAUUCUCACCAGCCCUGGAGUCCACUAGAGCAGAUGGCAGGGUGGAGCAUUGAUUACAUUUGCCCAAGGAGAUCAUAACAUCCACCUUCAAAUGCAUGGGAAAAUUUGGCGAUUCAAUGACACUGCUCAUUAGCGUUACCCCUCUGUUUAUUGUAUGAUUGUAGGUGUUACCUGGACAUUUGUGACAAUGAUUGAUAAAGUUUUCCACAAGCACAGUUGUUUCAUUGUCUCUUUUCCUAUUUCCUGCAUGGAUAGCCAGGACCAGCUCAUCUGUAAGGCCUCCUCCCCUUUUCUGAACUUUAGUCAGCAUAUUUUUUGUGUGCAAUAGUCCGUGAUGGUCAAUGUUGGGUGAGCACGCUUGGUAGUCUGAAGGUCUAAGAUAGCUGCUGUAAUUAGUUUAUGGAGUUUCCCCAGUCGUGACAAGCUAAUUAUUCAGAGAGGUGGUUAGGGUAGGAAUAUGUUUUGUACUGACUUGGUAGUCAUUAACGGAUGGCUUCCACCAGUUGGUCCACAACUGUUCCAAGCUGUAAUAGUCACACCUGGUGGGAACCAAGCAAGGUCUCUAGGUUAGCAUUGGUGGCCCCCUUAAACUUUGUUGCCUGCUUGCUAACUCCGAUGGCUUAAUUUAGCUAUUAAAACUGUAUGGAGAGAGUACAAAUACUAGAAAACUGUUGAAAUCAAAUACCUUUAAUCAUCAAGCAGAUAUGGUAGAAUGGUAACCAUGUCCCCAGAAACAUUCACAAAGUCCACAGGCAUAUCAGGCAUUCCAACUACUAACCAAGGAUUUAAAUCCAUAACUGGAAUUUAAACCAAGACUACGCACAUUACCUGGGCAGAUCAUCAAUUUAAACAGUAAACGCAGGUGAUAUGAAUGAAAUUGAUUGCCAUGUGUUAGAUGUGUAGCUUAGAGUGUGGGUGUGUCAGUUCCAGUUUUGUCCCUGCUCAUAAUUCCUCUUGCUCUGGUCUCCCCUUCACAGCAGGACACUAACAUAUACAUUGCAUUUAUUUUAAAGUUUAAACCACACUGUCAUGCAUUACUGACCAUCCAUCAACCUUUUUUACACACCAUGGCUUAAUGUUCUUUUUUUUAUUAUACACAAGUGAGCACUAACCAAAUGUAUGUUAUCCACACCACAAAGUAUAUCAAUGUUGUCUCUUUUCAAUGUGGGGAAUCCUCAGACAGCUCAUGAAUGCUGAUUGAUAUUUGGCACUGAAAAAAUAAAAAGCAGAAACAGUGCAGAGAGUGAGAGGAGCAACGACCUUUCGGAGUGAAAUGUUAAUUUAACUGCUGUAUAAAAAAAGAGUGUGUGUGGCUACUGAAUGCUGAACAUGUAAAUAUUACCAAUCCCCGCUGACUUAUAUGUGGAUUAGGUACAGUUCACCAGUGAAUAAGUGCAAAUAAGCUUUGCCCUUUUAACUGUUCAGUGAUGGGUACCGAAUACUAAUUUGUGGAUACAAAAUCCAGUUUUGUGAAGCAGCUGUGUGGAAGCAGUGGUGUAUGUUGCCGAGUAAUCAUGCUAUCAUGCUCUAUAUGUUUGGAUCUGUCUCAUUUUUUCAGUCAUAUUUUUAGGCUCCACUGCUAUUUAUCUACAAUCAUAUUGUAACUUUAGUACCAUAACUUUAUCUGUCUUUACCUUCAUUCAGCGACUUAAUGGAUGAGGAUAAAUUGUGGUUUUGGGCAGGAUAUUUCUUUAGUUUCAAUGUUUACUUGAUGUGUAUUUUGUAUUUUAAAUCUCAGGUUAAUCCACAGUUUAUAUUUCACUGCAGGGUUACUAUGUUAUGAAAGAGACACUGCAUUGCAGGUGUUGAUGUGUGUGUGUGUGUGUGUGUGUGUGUGUGUGUGUGUGUGCACGCACAUGCACAUGCAUUAGCAUUGCUUUAGACAUAUGUGUGUACUCUGGAAACGUAUGUGUGUGUGUGUGUGUGUGUGUGUGUGUGUGUGUGUGUGUGUGUGUGUGUGUGUGUGUGUGAGAGAGAGAGAGAGAGAGAGAGAGAGAGAGAGUAUAUUUGCAAACAGAGCUUGAAAUUGAUAUCUUAAUAUCUCAACAUUUACUUUUUAUCUCAAAAUUCUCACAUAUUAUUGCAACAUUUUGACAUAUAUUUUGACUUAUUACCUCCACAUUUUGACUGAUCAUGUGAUUUUCACUCUUGAGUUACAGUGGUGCUCGAAAGUUUGUGAACCCUUUAGAAUUUUCUAUAUUUCUGCAUAAACAUGAGCUAAAACAUCAUCAGAUUUUCACACAAGUCCUAAAAGUUGGCACAGAGACCCCAAUUAAAC